GGACAUGUAGCCCAGUGGUUGGAGCACAUGCUCAGCAUGCAGGAGGUCCUGGGUUCAAACCCUAGCAACCCCU
rnacentral:tRNA from 1 species